GAUUGCUUUCCAAAGUGGCUGCACUGUUUUCUAUCCCCACUGGUAAAUGGCAGGAAAACAUCUAAGAAAGGAGGCUCCCCCCUUCCCUUGCAGGGUUACCAGCAAUUAAAAAGAAGUACUAGAGAGGCAAAUAUCGGCAGUAUACAUCUAAGCGCUGGUCGGAAAAGAAGGAACUCAGCCCAAGAACUUGCCCAAUCUGAUACUGGAGGUGCCACUCAAGAACCACUCCCUCCAAGAUGUUUUCCUGGAUUUCCUCAGCCUAAAGUAAUCCCUCUUUUUCCUGGCUAUACCAUCUGGAACAGAUGACUUCCAAGGACACCGUAGCAAAGAAAAAGAGAACUGGAAGCCCAUGUGCCUUAAUCGCUUCAUCCUAGAGGGCGCAGCAGUCUGGAAAUAGAAACAAUGGUGGUGGAUCAAUUCAAUUGAUCCAGAUUUGGAAGUUGCGUGGCAAGUGAGAAGGAUUUGGAUGGUAAUGGUGAGAAAGGAUUUGAAAUAAUUUAUCAAACCUGGUUCAGAUCAAUCCUGGUGCAUAAGUGACUAACAAGGAG
rnacentral:lncRNA from 1 species